GACUCACUAUAGAGAGUGUCUGUGUGAUUUAUAAAGCUCAUUAUCAUCAUAAAGUAUUAAAACAUUUAUUAUUUUGUUGAACAUGAACAGAUCUGAGACUGACAGCUGUCUGUUCUGUGUAUGAAGAGCAUUUACAUACAGAGACACUUUGCAUGAGAGUGUUUAUAGAGCUGUGAGUUUAACACUUCAUGACUGAGAGCAGAACAGAACACAAUCUUCAUCAUCACACAAGACACAACAACAACAAUGAACAACAUCAUCAUCCUCAUCUGGACUCUGACGCUCUGCAUUCAGGAGAUCUGGGGACAAAUAACAGUGACGCAGAAUCCAGAAAUAAAAUCCAUCAAUCAAGGAGAAACUGUAUCGAUCAGCUGUAAAACCAGUCAGACACUUACUAGCUGUGGUACCUGUCUGUCUUGGUAUCAGCAGAAACCUGGAGAAACUCCUAAACUCCUCAUAUAUUACAUAAGCAGCCUCCAGUCAGGAACUCCUUCUAGAUUCAGUGGCAGUGGAUCUGGCACUGAUUUCACUCUGACCAUCAGUGGAGUCCAGACUGAAGAUACAGGAGACUAUUACUGUAUGGGUCACUACUAUAUCAGUAGCUGGGUGUUCACACAGUGAUAAAGAGUCGUACAAAAACCUCCGUCAGUCAGAGUCACAGUGACUGCACUGAUACAGCUGAGAGACACUGCAGCUGCUGAUGAGAGGAUCACAAACUUAAUUCCAAUUUUAAUUAAUUAUUUUAUAAAUGUUUUAAUGAAUAAUUUAGGUGGAUUAUAAUUGUACACUCUAUAUACAGCAGAUGAACGUACAAUACUCUUUGAUCAAUGUUUUUUUCAUCCCACUUU